rnacentral:tRNA from 1 species
GGAGAGAUGGCAGAGUGGUUGAAUGUACCGCCUUGGAAAGGCGGCGUACUGGAAACGGUACCCAGGGUUCGAAUCCCUGUCUCUCCGCCA